rnacentral:rRNA from 1 species
GAUGACGACCGUGCUUGCACGGUCUGAUUAGUGGCGAACGGGUGAGUAACACGUGAGUAACCUGCCCCUCACUUCGGGAUAACCUCGGGAAAUCGUGGCUAAUACCGGAUAUGAGCUUCCAUCGCAUGAUGGGGGCUGGAAAGAUUUAUCGGUGGGGGAUGGACUCGCGGCCUAUCAGUUUGUUGGUGAGGUGAUGGCUCACCAAGACGAUGACGGGUAGCCGGCCUGAGAGGGCGACCGGCCACACUGGGACUGAGACACGGCCCAGACUCCUACGGGAGGCAGCAGUGGGGAAUAUUGCACAAUGGGCGAAAGCCUGAUGCAGCGACGCCGCGUGGGGGAUGACGGCCUUCGGGUUGUAAACCCCUUUCAGUAGGGAAGAAGCGAGAGUGACGGUACCUGCAGAAGAAGCGCCGGCUAACUACGUGCCAGCAGCCGCGGUAAUACGUAGGGCGCAAGCGUUGUCCGGAAUUAUUGGGCGUAAAGAGCUCGUAGGUGGCUUGUCGCGUCUGCCGUGAAAACCCGAGGCUCAACCUCGGGCGUGCGGUGGGUACGGGCAGGCUAGAGUGUGGUAGGGGAGACUGGAACUCCUGGUGUAGCGGUGAAAUGCGCAGAUAUCAGGAAGAACACCGAUGGCGAAGGCAGGUCUCUGGGCCAUUACUGACACUGAGGAGCGAAAGCAUGGGUAGCGAACAGGAUUAGAUACCCUGGUAGUCCAUGCCGUAAACGUUGGGCACUAGUGUGGGGGACAUUCCACGUUUUCCGC